UACAGAGGUCUCAAGCGUUUGUUCGGAUUCAUUGGGCGUAAAGGGUGCGUAGGUGGCGCUGUAAGUCGGGUGUGAAAUUUCGGAGCUUAACUCCGAAACUGCAUUCGAUACUGCGGUGCUUGAGGACUGGAGAGGAGACUGGAAUUCAUGGUGUAGCAGUGAAAUGCGUAGAGAUCAUGAGGAAGACCAGUGGCGAAGGCGGGUCUCUGGACAGUUCCUGACGCUGAGGCACGAAGGCCAGGGGAGCAAACGGG
rnacentral:rRNA from 1 species